UGGGAAUUUGACAAUGGGCGAAAGCCUGAUCCAGCAAUGCCGCGUGUGUGAAGAAGGCCUUCGGGUUGUAAAGCACUUUUGUCCGGAAAGAAAUCCUUGGCUCUAAUACAGUCGGGGGAUGACGGUACCGGAAGAAUAAGCACCGGCUAACUACGUGCCAGCAGCCGCGGUAAUACGUAGGGUGCAAGCGUUAAUCGGAAUUACUGGGCGUAAAGCGUGCGCAGGCGGUUUGCUAAGACCGAUGUGAAAUCCCCGGGCUCAACCUGGGAACUGCAUUGGUGACUGGCAGGCUAGAGUAUGGCAGAGGGGGGUAGAAUUCCACGUGUAGCAGUGAAAUGCGUAGAGAUGUGGAGGAAUACCGAUGGCGAAGGCAGCCCCCUGGGCAAGUACUGACGCUCAUGCACGAAAGCGUGGGGAGCAAACNGGAUUAAUNCCCUGGUAGUCCACGCCCUAAANGAUGUCAACUAGUUGUUGGGGAUUCAUUUCCUAGUAACGUAGCUAACGCGUGAAGUUGACCGCCUGGGGAGUACGUCGCAAGAUUAAAACUCAAAGAAUUGACGGGGUC
rnacentral:rRNA from 1 species